ACAAACAGUCAAAUGUCUAUCGUUGAUGUUUAGUGAUAGUGGUUACAAUACAACUUCCAUUCACUUGACUCACUACUCACCCCAUGGAAAAAAACAUGCCAAAAAUGGGCCACUUGUAGUUGUUUCACAAAUGCAAUUGACAGGAAGCGAAGGAAGUUUUUUCCAGUGGGGGACGUGCUAUCAGGGCAAGUAUCAAGGGCCAAAGAGCUGCAAAAACAAGACAAACCAUGGUUGCUAGAAAUCUGUAGGAGCCUCACCCGCUUCCCUGGCCUCCCAAAGCAGAGGGGAGGCCCAGUCGGCAAUUGGGGUGAGGAAGGGAACUGGCACUGGGGCAACGGCGAGCAGACUCACACACGAGCAGACACGCACAGUGGCCAUGUGUGUGCAACAUGACUGGGAGCAAGGCCCUAUUACAAAGCGGUCCCUGUAAAUUGACCUUCCGUAAUCUCUUCAUCAAGGUGCUAAGUUUUGACCGCACUCGUGGACGCAAGUUUGAAGGAUUGGUGAAACCUGGUGCUCUCCAAGAUGCUUUUCAGAGGUACUUGAAGAUCAGAGGCUGAAUGUCCUUGACUGGGAGGGAACACUCCUGCCUGGCGAUGGUUGCAUGGUGUCCAUUAACCCGUUGUUGUAGCACCUCCAGGAUCUCACUGAUAUACCAUGCCUCAGGGUAUCCUUUCCUGCAGUGUACGAGGUAGAUAACAUUGGCCAAGUCACAUGAGUGUCAUGUGACUUCUGACGUUGUCCACCCCAGUCCAACGCUGGCAUCUCCGCAUCAAAUCAAUCAGACAGGUAUUGAUUGAAAGUGCAUAUAUAACUUUACAGAUGUUGGUAGGUACAAAGAAGUGAUGCCUGUGAAACUGAAGUGCUGUCAGAGUAUUUUAGAUUUUCUUUCUCUCCUCCUGUGUCUAGGUGCAGUUCCUAGGCUCUGCAGCUAGGACGGAGGGAGCUUGCUCUGUAGCGGAGCGUCUUGGCUUGGAAGGUUUGGGCAGAUGGCACUGGUGGAGUUUGUGGGUCCUCUAACCAAUCACGUUGAGUGUGUUCAGAUGCAGGCAUACCCUCUUCAUCUGCAACUUCCACAGGGUUACGGGAUCCAUUGUCAAGGGGGAAAUGGAGGAGCCUGGAGGAACCUCCAUUGUGCCCUGAAAGGAAAUUGUUGGGAUCUAUCUCAGAUUCUUCCUCUGGUUGGGUACCUCCUGGUAUUCCCUUGCCUCUGAGGGAGGAAGGGGCACCUGGAGUAAGGUCAAGAUCACUUAUCUUCCUUCUUGCCUUGCCAUUGAUUCUACAUACCAGUGGCUGAAGUGAUGGACGACAAGUCUGUGUACAUUUCCAACAGCCACUGAGUGUUCUCCUGGAACUGACUCUCUACAGUGACCUAACCAUGGAGACACCCAGAUGCAGCAUGGGACUUUUUAAAAAAUUAUUCAUUCAUGGGAUGAGGGCAUCUCUGGCCUGGCCAGCAUUUAUUGCCUGGGGGACAAUUAAGAGUCAACCACAUU